AUUGCCCCAGUAACGGCGAGUGAAGCGGCAACAGCUCAGAUUUGGAAUCUGGUCCCCAGGGCCCGAGUUGUAAUCUGGAGAGGAUGCUUCUGGCGCGGCGCCUUCCGAGUUCCCUGGAACGGGACGCCGGAGAGGGUGAGAGCCCCGUACGGUUGGACGCCUAGCCUUUGUGAAGCUCCUUCGACGAGUCGAGUAGUUUGGGAAUGCUGCUCAAAAUGGGAGGUAAAUUUCUUCUAAAGCUAAAUACCGGCCAGAGACCGAUAGCGCACAAGUAGAGUGAUCGAAAGAUGAAAAGCACUUUGAAAAGAGGGUCAAACAGUACGUGAAAUUGUUGAAAGGGAAGCGCCCGUGGCCAGACUUGUGCCCCGCGGACCACCCGGCGCCCUCAGCGCCGGUGCACUCCGCGGGGCGCAGGCCAGCAUCGGUUUUCCCAGGGGGAUAAAGGCGGCGGGAACGUGGCUCCCUCGGGAGUGUUAUAGCCCGCCGCGCCAUGCCCCUGGGGGGACCGAGGACCGCGCUUCGGCAAGGAUGCUGGCGUAAUGGCCACCGGCGACCCGUCUUGAAACACGGACCAAGGAGUCAAGCAUUGGGGCGAGUGUCUGGGUGCCAAACCCGCACGCGAAAUGAAAGUGAACGCAGGUGAGAGCUUCGGCGCAUCAUCGACCGAUCCUGAUGUUCUCGGAUGGAUUUGAGUAAGAGCCUUACCGCUUGGACCCGAAAGAUGGUGAACUAUGCCUGUAUAGGGUGAAGCCAGAGGAAACUCUGGUGGAGGCUCGCAGCGGUUCUGACGUGCAAAUCGAUCGUCAAAUAUGGGCAUGGGGGCGAAAGACUAAUCGAACCAUCUAGUAGCUGGUUACCGCCGAAGUU
rnacentral:rRNA from 1 species